rnacentral:rRNA from 1 species
UACAGAGGUCUCGAGCGUUGUUCGGAUUCAUUGGGCGUAAAGGGCGCGUAGGCGGCGGGGUAAGUCUGGUGUGAAAUCCUCGGAGCUCAACUCCGAAAUUGCACUGGAUACUGCUCUGCUAGAGGGCUGGAGAGGAGAUCGGAAUUCAGCGGUGUAGCAGUGAAAUGCGUAGAUAUCGUGAGGAAGACCGAGUGGCGAAGGCGGAUCUCUGGACAGCUCCUGGACGCUGAGGCGACGGAAGGCUAGGGAGCA